GACGUAGGGCGCGAGCGUUGUCCGGAAUUAUUGGGCGUAAAGAGCUCGUAGGCGGUCUGUCGCGUCUGCUGUGAAAACUCGGGGCUUAACCCCGGGCCUGCAGUGGGUACGGGCAGACUAGAGUGCGGUAGGGGAGACUGGAAUUCCUGGUGUAGCGGUGAAAUGCGCAGAUAUCAGGAGGAACACCGGUGGCGAAGGCGGGUCUCUGGGCCGUAACUGACGCUGAGGAGCGAAAGCAUGGGGAGCGAACAGG
rnacentral:rRNA from 1 species